rnacentral:rRNA from 1 species
GGGAGCAAACAGGAUUAGAUACCCUGGUAGUCCACGCCCUAAACGAUGUCGACUAGUUGUCGGGCCUUAAUUGGCUUGGUAACGCAGCUAACGCGUGAAGUCGACCGCCUGGGGAGUACGUUCGCAAGAUUAAAACUCAAAGGAAUUGACGGGGACCCGCACAAGCGGUGGAUGAUGUGGAUUAAUUCGAUGCAACGCGAAAAACCUUACCUACCCUUGACAUGUCAGGAACCCUGCUGAGAGGUGGGGGUGCUCGAAAGAGAGCCUGAACACAGGUGCUGCAUGGCUGUCGUCAGCUCGUGUCGUGAGAUGUUGGGUUAAGUCCCGCAACGAGCGCAACCCUUAUCAUUAGUUGCUACGCAAGGGCACUCUAAUGAGACUGCCGGUGACAAACCGGAGGAAGGUGGGGAUGACGUCAAGUCCUCAUGGCCCUUAUGGGUAGGGCUUCACACGUCAUACAAUGGUCGGUACAGAGGGCUGCCAACCCGCGAGGGGGAGCUAAUCCCAGAAAACCGAUCGUAGUCCGGAUCGCAGUCUGCAACUCGACUGCGUGAAGUCGGAAUCGCUAGUAAUCGCGGAUCAGCAUGUCGCGGUGAAUACGUUCCCGGGUCUUGUACACACCGCCCGUCACACCAUGGGAGUG